UAGCUCUGGCUUAUGGUGAUGCUAGAGAUUGAAACUGGACAUCUGAGCUUCAGGCAUGAAAGAAAGUCUUUUGCAUAAUCAUUAAGCUGGAUGUGAGGGUGAUCUGGCUGCAACAUCUGUCACCCCAUUGAUGGCCAGGGUUGAUUCGGCUGGUCUGGCUGGCUAGAUUUAUUGACUUAUGACAGAGGACCAGAACCAAAGCAUGGGAUGCCAGGGAUGGGACUGAGGACUCCAAGCUUACAGAUAGAAGCAGAGGGAGACAGAAUGAGAAAGAGAAAUGCUACAGCAUCACUCCACCGCUCAUGAAGCUGCCCCCUGUAAAAGGCAUUCCCACACGGUGCUCAGGCCCUCAAGCAUGGUAAAUAAGGACGGCGAAGUAGCAGCAGGUGGUGGAACACCUGGUUAAAUGAGCAUGGACCCCGUUUCAAGCUCCCAGUCCCCACCUGCAGGGGUGAAGCUUCACAAGUGGUAAAACAGCGCUACAGGUGUCUCUCUGUCUCUCUUCCUCUCUAUAUCUUUCUUCCCUCUCAAUUUUUGUCUAUCCAAAAUAAAUAAUAAAUAUAUAUUUUUUUGUCUCCAGAGUUACCGCUGGGGCUUAGUGCCUGCACUAUGAAUCCACUGCUCCUGUGGCUGUUUUUUUAUUUAUUUUUUUUAUAGAACAGAGAGAAAUUGAGAGGAGAGGGGAAGAUAGAAAAGGGGGGAGAAAGAUAAGACACUUGCAGAUGUGCUUCACCGCUUGUAAAGCAACCCCCCUGUAGGUGGGGAGCCAGGGGCUUGAAGCAGGAUCUUUGCAUGGGUCCUUGAGGAAAAUAUACUUUUUAAAAAAGAUGAUGAAGAAGUGUGUUCUUUCAGCUCCAGAAAUCUAUCUAUCUUUCUUUCUUUUCUUUUCUUUUCUUUUCUUCUCCUUCUUCCUCAUUCUCUUUCUUUUCUCUUGCUAAAGGGAGGGCAUCUUUCAAGUGGGAGUUCCAGUUCCUACCUUCUGGAAAAGAAAAAAAAGAGAUCAGAGUGCCUUUCACAUACCUGCUGUUUUCACAUAUCCUUAGAUCAAUAAUCCUUCUGCCUGUUGUGGGUGCUUCCACCUUUUCCUGGCACUGGCAGGAGGGUGUUUAUAAGGAGAGCUCCCUGACAAAGCCCCAGAAAGGACAGGGCUAAAGGCUAGAGCAUUUCCCCUGCACCACCAUAAGCCAGAGCUGAACAGUACUCUGGUUAAAAAAUAAAAAAGGGAAAAUAAAUAAAAAAAAAAAAACAGCCUUUCAUGCCUGAAGUACCAAAGGUCCCAGGUUCACCAUAAGCCAGAGCUGAGCAGGGCUCUGGUAAAAAAAAAAAACAGAAGGGAGUCGGGCUGUAGCGCAGCGGGUUAAGCGCAGGUGGCGCAAAGCACAAGGACCCGCAUAAGGAUCCCAGUUCGAACCCCGGCUCCCCACCUGCAGGGGAGUCGCUUCACAGGCGGUGAAGCAGGUCUGCAGGUGUCUAUCUUUCUCUCCUCCUCUCUGUCUUC